GAUAUUGUAUGUAACUGGUGACAUUUGAAAGAGACAUAUUGGACAGAAAUGGCAUACGUGAAAGCUAAGAUACAAUAUAUUUAAUUUUUUAAGAAUUCAGUUCAAGAGUGAUCAGUCUUAACAACCUUGGGUGUAUGUGUUAGCGUUUUUAAAGAUAAGGAAGCUGAGAUGUAGAGCUGAAGUGUCUUGCCCAAGAUCAUUUGUCUAAUACUUAGAUUGGAAGUAGUCUUAAACCUUUGGAGUUCAAGACUUUUUAAAAACGGCUAAAUAAAUAAUCUCUACAUGUAAAAGGCCACUGAUGCCUACUUCUCUUUAGAGCAACUAUUGAACUCAGCUGCCGAGGGGCUUCAAGACAGCUGACCAGAGACAUCUCCUACUCACCUCCUCCACAAAGGAGAACCUAAAUAGUGAGUAGAUAAUCACACUUCGAAUAGAUCAUCCAGGAGAGAACACUGGAAUUCAAUGGAGAAGUGACAGGAAACACCUAAAGCAAGGAAGAAUAAGAAAGAGAGGCAACCUGCUUGACCAGGAUCAGCUGGGAGCCAGGAGAGACUCCCCAGUGCAGGGAAAGGCCAGGAGGAAAAAGAAGUGAGUCUUUAUCAUUUGGUCUUGUGCAUCACUCUGUGGGUUAGCAUAACUACGUGAAUAGAUGCUGGAAACCAAAUACAUUCCAGCUUAGCACAGAAUAAAAUCUGGACUGCGUCAGUUUGUAAAGAUCUUAUGUCUACUUGGUCAUCAGGAUCCUGAUAUACUCAUACCAUACAAGCUUAUCUUAAGACAUUUGAGAUUUGUAACAAGUACGCUGGGGAAUAGUCAACUGGUUAUGAAGCACAUCAUCUUGAUACAUUCACCAUUUUCAAUAAUGAAAAAAGAGCAAGAGAGUACAUAAGGUGCUUGCUUCUCCUUUGCCUUCCACCAUGACUGUAAAUUUCCUGAGGCCUCCCCAGCCAUGCAGAACUCCAAGAAGGGAUUCCGAAGAUAGAAGAGGAGGCAUCAACACCGUGAACAUCAUGGCUGAGUUAUUUUGUGAGAAGGAUAAGCCUAAAGUAAAAACCUUGGAUUUGUCUCUGUCCUUGAACAUGCUAUCUGGAAAGAGUUUUCUUAAAAGUAUUGUCGUGAACACAUCCAUUUUCCCAGUAUAGUUGAAUGCAGGGUUUAAUAAAUAGAAUGAAUCUAGUUUUAGUUCCUGUACUGCUUGUGCUUUCAAUAACGUCUAUAUUUGAAUAACACAUUUCAGUAGGUAUGUUUGUUAGCAUUGACCUUGUAAGUUGAUGAAGAAAGGGUAGUACUACCAACCCUGAGCAGAUAAAGAGAAUUCUAUGUGUUUUACAAACAUAUAUUUAUCAUUUUGAAUUUAUAUAUAGUCAAGGAUGCAACUCUUCCCUGAAUUUAUAUAAGCUCUUAUUGGUUUCUACAGGUAUUCCUCCCUGUAAAUAUUUUAUUAGCCGAGUCAGAGCAUUCACAUACAUUCCCAGUAAGAAUGGAUUUUAAAGUCAGAAGUUCAGAACCGUUAGCAAGUCUUCCUGCAAUACUGCAAAGUAAUGGAAAACCUUAGACUCAGCCAGUUUGGUCUUGUUUAGUGAGGGGAUGCACUGAGUAACUCCAUCUUCAGGUACCAGAUAAAUAACAGUAAGAUGUAUUCCUGAGGGUCGCCAUCGCAGUUGCACCCCGCCCCAUCAGGAGAAUCAGUCAUGACCACAGCCCCUUGACACUCACGAUCUUGGCUACAUCGAGGCUCCAGCAGCAAACAGUUUAAAAGCUGCUCAUCCACCAUGAUGAGUUUUGAGGUGCUUGGAACUUCUCAGAAAAGAGAUAUAUUAUGGGCAUUGAUCGUUGCAUCAGUGAAGAGGAGCACGUGGCUGCAGAGGUCUUGCCUGAACCCUGGCUGCACCCCCAGUACAAGCCCAUCCCUCAGACCUGUUGAGUGGAGCUAUUAUUCUUCCAUAAUGUGCGCAGUACAGGUGGAAAGUUGGGAGACAGAAAAGGGGAGAAAAGAAGAAAAGGGAGGGGAAAAGGUAAAAGAAAAGAAGAGAAUGAAUUGCAGCUGAGGAAGUGGAAGAGCGAGAAGUGCUUCCAGAUUCCAGGUUUCUCAAACCCGACUUGGGAUAGGUGAUACCAGGAAACAUGAGGAAGGCAAUGAGAAGAGGGAGGCCGUAGAGAAGACAAGCCAGGGAAGGAGACUGGAGCAAGAUUCUGAUCUGAGGGAAGAGGCACCGCAUGUCCACACCCUCAGAACACUGGCUGGUCUUCAUUCUGUGGUAUAACUAGAAGCGGGGAAUUGAGUGGGGAGCUGGAAAUUAUGCAUCUUGGAGGAAGGGCCAAGUCAAAUUAGAUGGCCAUGAACUCACUGCUCAUGUAGAUUCUGGGGACAUAGUGUGGCAUAGUGGUUGAGAUGCAGGCUGCAGAGUUAGCCAGACAUGGUUCAGACCCAGGUAGGUUUGAGAUCUGCUUCUGCCAGCGCACCUAUUGGGGAGCUUUGGGCUGUAAUCAAAUAGAAAACCUAACCCAGACAAGCUUAAACAAUAAGAAAUUUAUUGACAUAGCUGGAAAUUCAAGUAUGGGUAACUUUCAGGGUCAGCUUGAUCCAGUGGCUCUUUUUCUUUUUUCUUCUUCUUAUUAUUUUUUGCCAUA